rnacentral:rRNA from 1 species
UACGUAGGGGCCUAGCGUUGUCCGGAUUUAUUGGGCGUAAAGAGCUCGUAGGCGGUUCGGCAAGUCGGAUGUGAAAUCUCCACGCUCAACGUGGAGGGGCCAUUCGAAACUGCCGUGACUCGAGUCCGGUAGGGGAGUGUGGAAUUCCCGGUGUAGCGGUGAAAUGCGCAGAUAUCGGGAGGAACACCGGUGGCGAAGGCGGCCCCCUGGUUGGAUACUGACGCUGAGACGCGAAAGCGUGGGGAGCAAACAGG